AGGAGCCGCACAACCCCCUGCAUCCCGAGGUGCCACCCAGCCGUCCCUCUUCCACCUCCGGUGAUGGCUCCCCUAUUCCCCCUUGUCAUGCCCUACUUUGCAUCUAACCGUUGCAUCCUGUAGCGUCUUCAAUUGAAUCUAUGUACAUAGGGAAAACUCCACAAGAGGCUUCUGAAGCUUGGUCAACGCCUACAUGAGGACCAACCUAUAACUCGUAUGUGCCGCUGGAUAAGGCCAUGUCUUUCGUGGGUGGUGCUUGGCUGAUUUGUACAUGGAUACUAUUAAAGAAUGGUACAAACAUAUAUGGAUUAUGAAAGGUUGAUCCAAGCCAGCUUCAGAAUGAGCUCAAGGCGUACAGGAAGACCGAGGAGGGGAUGAACACACUUUUGAACCACUACCUCCAUUUCUGUGGAGUUUCUCUCAAGAUGCAAGCUGAAAUGCUGGUGAUCAUGAAGAACAGUCCUGUGAAUGGCAUCAUCAAGCUCAUCGAACAGCAUCACAUCACAAACCAUGUCACGGGAACAUCUUCCUUCUCAUCGUGUGUCCAGACCAAAUACAGCUUUGUUUUACUGCUAGCAAUGUGUCCCAUUUAUUUUAUACUUCUUAGAUGAUCGCCUUAAACUGGUGCACAUAAUUUUCACCAGGGCAACUUCUUAGCUCAACUGAUGGGUGGAUGUCCUUUCUUACAGUCGUGCAUGCUCUAACCAUUUGUUCUUUCUUGUCGUGAUGGAAGAUGUAACACCAUUUACUUGCUAGUGACAAUGGCACGUCCACAAGUUGAUACAAGAUGUUCUGAUGAUCGGUUUUGUUCAUAGCAUGUUUGACACAUUUUGUGGAUAUGGAAGUUGAGGUCAGCUCGGUGAUCGAAGAUAUUUGGUCUCUUCCGUAAUAUCUUGUAGUAGUCAAGUGAUCAAACAAUUGGGUCUCUUAGAGCUUAGCCAUCAUAUUUUGUAAUAGACAACGUCUUGUAUGUUGACUUACUUAUUUCCUUAUUGGUUGUAGCUGACUUGAGUGUAGCAAACUAAUGAAUCUUGUAUAUAUGCUUGAAUGAAUGUAUUAAUCAAUGGUAUCUUGUGAUCAA